rnacentral:lncRNA from 1 species
UUUUUAAUAUUUUGUUGUGUCUUGCUUGUUGGGAAUUGAUCCAGUUAAGUGGCUGACUGGGAAUAUUAUGCUAUCAAGUUCGUGUCUUGGUGCGUCUGAGAAUGUUGUUUCUUUCUUUCUUUCUUCCUUUUGUUGCAAACCUGAAAAGAAAGUGCAAUGUGAACCUGGAAGGUGCAUGUACUGCUGCUACUUUCGUGUGCCAACUGCUAUACUAGUUGGUUUGUGAUGAUCCAAACAAGUCGACAACAGUAGUACUGUUGGCAGUUGGUGUUUAAUUUCAUUGCUGCCAUGGUAUUUAUUCUUUCGACAUGUCAUGUAUAUGCUUGGUUCCCUGAUGGGUGCACUUUCUAACACGCGCAGGUGCAAGACAGAGACACGCCACCAUGCAAUGAUUCUUCUUCCACUCACAGGCCUCCCACUCCGGUAACUCUUUUUUUGCUCUAGCAUAGCAUAGCUGGUAAGCAACAGAUCCUCUCUUUUGCUCUCUCUUGCUCUAUUAUCUUGCUCUGCGUGUGUCCAUGACCACACACCCCUUCUGCUAAGUUAUGUUCUGGCGAUGGUGAUUUCUGUCUAGUGCUUAUGAUGCUUUGGACUUGUAGUUUAGUGAUGCCAAGUGUUGCAUCGAUAAUAUUUGAUCAAAACCACCCAUUUAAGUUGAAGAAUUGAAGAGAGCCUGCUGAAGAUUUUUGCAUGACUUGCACUUGAGCCAUGCAUAUUCAUAUUAUGUAUCUGUUUUCUUGUAUGUAUGGGUAUCUCAUUUUAACUAGUUGGAGGACAAAAAGCAUGGCACUAGCUCAAUUUGUGUUACCAUUCUAAAUAAAUGUCAUUUUCUUGAUUGGUCUGUUCAAUAUAUUUGCCCCAAUUUUUCUUAUUCUUCUCUCAUUCAUGUAAUAGGGUGACAGAGGAAGCCAUGUUGCAGUUUUGUUUGUUGCCAGCCCUGACUUCGGUCAUCCAGUGAGUCUGGCAUGUUGUUCAUCUGACUACGGUCGUCCAGCGAGUCUGUCAUGUUGUUCAUCUAACUACAGUCGUCCAGCGAGUCUGGCAUGUUGUCAUUUUCUAUAAAGCAGUACUGUAUUACACU